GUAUGUGAAUGUUUCGAAAGUGACAAAAAUAGCAAUGGAAUUUUCCUGCAAGAAGUGAACUUGUGAAGUGUUGUUACGUUAAAGUGUUUUACGUGGAAUUUUAUCCGGAAUUUGCACUAAAUGCGACGUGUAAAUAAUAUUUAAAGUACGGUGAAUCACCUGGGUGUUUUUAUGAGUUGUUUUUGGAUCAAUUUGUGCUGUUUCUUUGCCAAUGAUGUACAUUGUACCACAUAUUUUUUAUGACAGGAUGUCUGUUGGAACUUCGAACUUGUGUCUGAUGGGGUUAAGAGGAUUGAACUGUAAAUCAGUGGCAUCGGAUCCACGAGGACGUGGAUAAGGGAAGCGUGGCCGACUGUAAAGAAUAUUUUCUACGCCGGCCCUGACGGACGACUAAAAGAAAUGGAUGUUCUGACAAACAGCAUAGAUGCCCGAAUAUGGAUAAUGAAGUAUUUAAUGAGUCAGUCGAUUAUAGUAUUUCGUGAUAAAAAGACAUGUGUACCUAGAUAUUAGAAUAAAUGUAUUAAAUUCUGAA